rnacentral:rRNA from 1 species
GAUGAACGCUGGCGGCGUGCCUAAUACAUGCAAGUCGAGCGAAUAGAUUAAGAGCUUGCUCUUAUGAGGUUAGCGGCGGACGGGUGAGUAAAACGUGGGUAACCUGCCCAUAAGACUGGGAUAAAUCCGGGAAAACGGGGCUCAUACCGGAUAACAUUUUGAACCGCAUGGUUCGAAAUUGAAAGGCGGCGCCGGCUGUCACUUAUGGAUUGACCCGCGUCGCAUUAGCUAGUUGGUGAGGUAACGGCUCACCAAGGCAACGAUGCGUAGCCGACCUGAGAGGGUGAUCGGCCACACUGGGACUGAGACACGGCCCAGACUCCUACGGGAGGCAGCAGUAGGGAAUCUUCCGCAAUGGACGAAAGUCGGACGGAGCAACGCCGCGUGAGUGAUGAAGGCUUUCGGGUCGUAAAACUCUGUUGUUAGGGAAGAACAAGUGCUAGUUGAAUAAGCUGGCACCUUGACGGUACCUAACCAGAAAGCCACGGCUAACUACGUGCCAGCAGCAGCCGCGG